CGGCCGCGUCGACCGGUUUGAUAAGUCUGAAGUUAAAGGCUGUGGCUCAACCAUAGUUCGCUUUGGAAACUGUCAAACUUGAGUGCAGAAGGGGAGAGUGGAAUUCCAUGUGUAGCGGUGAAAUGCGUAGAUAUAUGGAGGAACACCGGUGGCGAAAGCGGCUCUCUGGUCUGUAACUGACGCUGAGGCUCGAAAGCGUGGGGAGCGAACAGGAUUAGAUACCCUGGUAGUCCACGCCGUAAACGAUGAGUGCUAGGUGUUGGAUCCUUUCCGGGAUUCAGUGCCGCAGCUAACGCAUUAAGCACUCCGCCUGGGGAGUACGACCGCAAGGUUGAAACUCAAAGGAAUUGACGGGGGCCCGCACAAGCGGUGGAGCAUGUGGUUUAAUUCGAAGCAACGCGAAGAACCUUACCAGGCCUUGACAUGCAGAGAACUUUCCAGAGAUGGAUUGGUGCCUUCGGGAACUCUGACACAGGUGCUGCAUGGCUGUCGUCAGCUCGUGUCGUGAGNGUCGUGGGAGACG
rnacentral:rRNA from 1 species